AUAUCAAUAAGCGGAGGAAAAGAAACCAACCGGGAUUGCCUCAGUAACGGCGAGUGAAGCGGCAAAAGCUCAAAUUUGAAAUCUGGCCUCUGGUCCGAAUUGUAAUUUGAAGAAGCGACUUUGGGCCUGGCUCUUGUCUAUGUUCCUUGGAACAGGACGUCACAGAGGGUGAGAAUCCCGUGCGAUGAGAAGACCAGGUUCGUGUAAAGCGUUUUCGACGAGUCGAGUUGUUUGGGAAUGCAGCUCUAAGUGGGUGGUAAAUUCCAUCUAAAGCUAAAUAUUGGCGAGAGACCGAUAGCGAACAAGUACAGUGAUGGAAAGAUGAAAAGAACUUUGAAAAGAGAGUGAAAAAGUACGUGAAAUUGUUGAAAGGGAAGGGCUUGAGAUCAGACUUUGUUUUUCCAUGGCGCUCUUUCGGGGGUGUCCUCUGGGGCUACAGGGCCAGCAUGGGUUUUGCGGGCGAGACGAGGUUUCCGGGAAUGUGGCUCUGCUUCGGUGGAGUGUUAUAGCCCGGGGGACUGGUCGCCAUGCGGGACCGAGGACUGCGGUACUAGGAUGCUGGCAUAA
rnacentral:rRNA from 1 species